CUUCAACGAACCCAGCCACAGGGGCUGUUCGGGGGUCCGCUCCUGCCCGUACGUCGCGAUCAGGGCCUGCGCCUC
rfam:Streptomyces sp. CB01249 scaffold10, whole genome shotgun sequence.